UUUCAGUACUGCAUACCAUGCAUUUGCAUAUUGAAAUCGAGAAUAAUUCAAUCUUUAAAUCACAAUGAAUCUAUUUCAGCAUUAUUAUGUGUUUGCCAUCAUUUUUUAUUUCGCCAACGGAAUAAUUAAGCUAAAACAUGGACCCGGAGUUUGCAAAGGGUAAGUUGAAACAAACCUUAAAUGCUGUACAAAUUAUCGACAAAAGUAUGACAUCUGUGAACCCUGUGAAGUAGGCACGUAUGGAGACAGGUGUACAGGAGGACCCUGUGUCUAUGGAUACUAUGGAUUUGGUUGUCAGAGUAAAUGUAACUGUACGUCCGACCAGUAUUGUGACAGGAAAAUAGGAUGUUUUUAUAAUACUACAAAGGACCCAGAGGAUGCACUAUUAGAGGAAAAGUCAUAUAAUAGUACAGUCAUUAUUGUUACAAUAACGGCGG